GUGAAGCAGCUGUGUGGUUUUCUGGAGAGUCCAGACUGUAGACUGGAGACUCUGGGAUUGUGGAGAUGCAGUUUGUCAGAGAUCAGCUGUGAUUCUCUGGGACCAGCUCUGAAGUCCAACCCCUCCCAUCUGAAACAUCUGGAACUGAGUGAGAACAACCUGAAAGAUUCAGGAGUGAAGCAGCUGUGUGGUUUUCUGGAGAGACCAGACUGUAGACUGGAGACUCUGGGGUUGUGGAGCUGCAGUUUGUCAAAGAUCAGCUGUGAUUCUCUGGUCUCGGCUCUGAAGUCCAACCCCUCCCAUCUGAAACAUCUGAACGUGAGACUCAACAACCUGAAAGAUUCAGGAGUGAAGCAGCUUCUUGAUCUUGUGGAGAGUCCAGGCUAUAAACUGGAGACUCUGUGGUGGAAGAAGUCAUUGUUUUAACCAGGAGGAUGUAUGUUGAGAGGGGAUGAGCUGUGUCCUGAUGAUCCAGAGGGUGAAGCAGACUCUGACUGGACCAUGUUACUGGGAGGUGGAGAGGAGAGCUUCAUCCACAUGGUCUCCAUUUAAGACCAUUAACAGAGCUGCACUUCAACUCUUCACAGAGCUCCAACAAAUCCAGUCCAGUCCCUCAUCAAUGAUUCAGACACAUGUCAACCUGCCAGCAUCAACAGUCCUUCCUCAUGUUGUGGAGACAUUUGUUCCAUGUCUUCUCUCUUCUCACAACCUCGUAACCAUCAGCCAUCAAUAAAUUGACCUUUGUGCACCGAUACAACACGUCCAAGGUAGAAGAUACAACAAACUCCUCUAAUUUAAAUUCCAUGUUGAUGAGUGACAGCUAACAGCCACAGCAGAAACCAAACUGUUAACCUAAGCAGCUUUCCACCAACUCCUCACUUCCAAAUCACUGCAGUUACAGCAACAAACCAUCAAACAAACAACAAUGAGUCCACCAAGGCUACAAAACAACAAAGGUAGCCCCCGGCCCCAGGUCUUCAAAGGACUGGCCUCUAGCCACCAAGCACCCAAAUGAUGCUACGAGCCCGUUGACUGGUUCUUAACAAACUGACCUGACCUGAAAGAAAUACAAUUAUGAACACACCUUGACAACAUCAGUAUGUGAGCAUCAGUAGCAUUAGUAUGUGAACACAUACUCUGCAGAGUUCCAAAAUUUUAGGACUAGGUUCAGGCCUUUGAGGAACCAUCUGAAUAUUCUCAAGUUACAAAUAUAUGUUUCACUAAAAAUAAUAAUAAUAAUAAUAAUAUAUUUUUUUUUAUUAUUAUCAUGUUUUUGUCUUUUAAGCUGCGUUUAUUUCGUUUUUCUGGACCUUUUUUGUUAACAAGAGAUGGAGAAGUCCCUCUCAUAUAACUGUGAAGGAGCGUGUCUGUACACAGGACAUUGAACUUUUAGCUUUGGGAAUGCCUCCUUAUUAUUUACCAAGGGAAUUCACCAAUUUCAUCUUUAUCGGAGUCUACAUCCCUCCUUCAGCUGUCAAGAAAACAGCAUGUGAUGCGAUCCAUGCCACUGUUGCUAGGCAGUCCAAACACCCGGAGGCUCUUGUUAUCAUUUCUGGGGAUUUAAAUCAUAACACCUUGGACACUGUUUUGCCAACUUGUCAUCAGUUUGUAAAUUGUGCAACCUGAUAAAAUAGAAAUCUGGAUCUACUGUAUGCUAAUUCAAAAGAUGCAUACAGAUCCACUGCCCUUAAUGUGGACAAGACCAAGGAGCUGGUCAUUGAUUUUAGGAGGAAGAGCAUCAGUCAGUGGAGCCCAUCACCAUCCAGGGCCUGGAGGUGGAAGUGGACCACUACAAGUACCUGGGAGUCCACAUGAACAACAGAUUGGACUGGAGGGACAACAGUGAUGCUGUGUACAAGAAGGGCCUGAGUAGACUCUACAUUCUCAGGAAUAUCAGGAUCUAUCAGUCUGUUGUUGCGAGUGCCCUGUUCUUUGCAGUGGUUUGUUGGGUGAGUAGUACCAGCAAAAAAGACAUCAGUAGGAUCAACAAACUGAUCCAAAAGGCUGGACAUAUGGCUGGUAGGGAGUUGGAAUCAUUUGUCUCAGUGAGGGACAGGAGGACAUUGGAUAAACUGCUCUCCAUUGUGGAUAAUCCAUCCCAUCCACUACUUCAAACAUUAGAAGGUCAGAGGAGUUCAUUCUCUAGCACAAUGGUUCAGCUCCACUGCCAUAGUGAAUGCUACAGAACUUCCUUUAUUCCCUAUUGUAUCCAGCUGUAUAACAGCUCAUCUUUUUGUGUCAAUUAAGCUACUAUGAUCAAUUAAUUUCCCUUGUGGAUCAUUAAAGUCUAAGUCUAAAAAUUGAACCAGACCUCUGUAUAUUUCUGUAAUGUAUAUUUGCUAUAUAUUAUGCUAUGCUAUAUAUUUGCUCUACGUCAGCAGCCUGUGGAUAUACCAGGUUUCAUCUCUAAAAGGAUUGGUUGAAUUGAGUCAAUGAUGCCCCAUUUGAGUUGUUGGAGCCAAUAGAUGAUACUUUGAUAGAUAGAAAUUUGAUGGAUAUGUCAGGAGUCUGUGGACUGUGCUUUGUUUUGACACGUUGUUUGUGUGAACUGUAUAAAGGUUCACAGCAGUAGAGACAGAAAAGAGUGCGAUGACUGUGUGGAGUUGUAGAACUUUGAUAUUUGGUCAUUCAUUGAGUUGAGUCUUUGUGUGUUUGGAGUAUCAUGUGUCAUUAGAUGUGGACAGUUGUAGUUCCUGACAGUGAACGCUGGAGGACAGUUCAUGCAGUUCAUCACUCCACUACCAGAGAGAGACAAAUCUGCACCAGUGGAGUAUUUUUUACAGUGUAUUUUGUGGUGUUCAAUUUUUUCAAUCUGGUGUUUUUUUACAGUGUAUUCUUUAUUGAUUAUUUGUUUUUGACGAUGUAUCUUCUGAUAAUAAAUUUUAAAUGUGUAAUUUCUUAGCAACUCUGGUAAGCCACAUGAGUUUUUCAGAGGAAACUUUUAGAUCCUUGAAGUCAUUUUAAGAUUAUACAUUUAUUAAUAUUUCUUUUCAUGAGCAUUUUCCGUACGUGAUAAUGUUUAUUCAUUUUUGUCAAUUGUGAAAUAUUUAUAAUUAAAUUCACAAAUUCA